GACGGAGGAUGCAAGCGUUAUCCGGAAUUAUUGGGCGUAAAGCGUCCGUAGGUGGUUGAGUGUGUCUGCUGUCAAAAUGCGGGGCUUAACUCCGUAAAGGCAGUGGAAACUAUUCGACUAGAGUGUGAUAGGGGCAGAGGGAAUUCCCAGUGUAGCGGUGAAAUGCGUAGAUAUUGGGAAGAACACCAGUGGCGAAAGCGCUCUGCUGGGUCACAACUGACACUGAGGGACGAAAGCUAGGGGAGCGAAAGGG
rnacentral:rRNA from 1 species